UAUUGGUCAAUGGGCGGGAGCCUGAACCAGCCAAGUCGCGUGAGGGAUUAAGGCCCUACGGGUCGUAAACCUCUUUUGCCGGGGAGCAGGGCGGCGGACGUGUGCGCCGUUUGAGAGUACCCGGAGAAAAAGGAGCGGCUAACUCCGUGCCAGCCGCCGCGGUAAUACGGAGGAUGCGAGCGUUAUCCGGAUUUAUUGGGUUUAAAGGGUGCGUAGGCGGGCUUUUAAGUCAGCGGUAAAAAUGCGGGGCUCAACCCCGUCCGGCCGUUGAAACUGGGGGCCUUGAGUGGGCGAGAAGAAGGCGGAAUGCGUGGUGUAGCGGUGAAAUGCAUAGAUAUCACGCAGAACCCCGAUUGCGAAGGCAGCUCACUGGACUGGUCACUGACACUGAGGCUCGAAAGUGUGGGUAUCAAACAGG
rnacentral:rRNA from 1 species